UACAGAGGUCUCAAGCGUUGUUCGGAUUCAUUGGGCGUAAAGGGUGCGUAGGCGGCGCGGUAAGUCGGGUGUGAAAUCUCGGGGCUUAACUCCGAAACUGCAUUCGAUACUGCCGUGCUUGAGGACUGGAGAGGAGACUGGAAUUCAUGGUGUAGCAGUGAAAUGCGUAGAGAUCAUGAGGAAGACCAGUGGCGAAGGCGGGUCCCUGGACAGUUCCUGACACUGAGGCACGAAGGCCAGGGGAGCAAACGGG
rnacentral:rRNA from 1 species